AUACUUACACAAUUUAGUCUUCCUUUGUUCAUUACUUGGCUUAGGUGAAGAAACCCUUCUAUUUCUCUUUUGAUUUUCUGUCCAGCAACCUUAGGGGAGCUAGAUAUACUUCUUACCUUGCUAUUUCUUGGCCUAGAUUUAUAGAACCAAGAUCCAAAACCAAGACAGCACUAGCAACACCAAAACCGGUCACUAAGGGCUUAAAGGGGGGGCUUUUGUUUCAGAAUUUGUUUGAAAAAGAAGCUAAGAAACUAUACAAGGAGAGUUAAUAGACAAAGACAAGAGCUCAAGAGGUUUUAUAACUAAGGACGCAUAGUUUAUAUUUUGUUUGUAGUCUUCUGUGUUUAUAGCAUUUUAUGUUGACAAGAUUGCUAAUGAUUUAUAUGUAUUCUUUUGUGUCAUUAUGGACACCGGUUCCCUUGUAUUUGUUAUAAGUAUU